rnacentral:RNase_P_RNA from 1 species
CGGCCGAACGGACGCUUCGCAAGAAGAGGAAAGUCCGAGCAUCACAGGGCAGGGUGACGGGUAACGCCCGCUGAAGGUGACUUUAAGGAUAGUGCAACAGAAAUAAACCGCAGUAUUAUUACUGUAAGGAUGGAAAGGUGCGGUAAGAGCGCACCGGCAGUUCGGCAACGAAAUUGGCCGUGUAAACCCCACUCGAUGCAAGAGAGAAAACGAUCGUUCGCCCGACGCGUUUUCAAAAUCGCUUGAACCUUUCGGUAACGACUGGUCUAGACAGAUGUCCGUUCAAGACAGAACUCGGCUUACAGACCGUCUCG